rnacentral:rRNA from 1 species
AGUGAACGCUGGCGGUAGGCCUAACACAUGCAAGUCGAACGGCAGCACAGUAAGAGCUUGCUCUUACGGGUGGCGAGUGGCGGACGGGUGAGGAAUACAUCGGAAUCUACUUUUUCGUGGGGGAUAACGUAGGGAAACUUACGCUAAUACCGCAUACGACCUACGGGUGAAAGCAGGGGAUCUUCGGACCUUGCGCGAUUGAAUGAGCCGAUGUCGGAUUAGCUAGUUGGCGGGGUAAAGGCCCACCAAGGCGACGAUCCGUAGCUGGUCUGAGAGGAUGAUCAGCCACACUGGAACUGAGACACGGUCCAGACUCCUACGGGAGGCAGCAGUGGGGAAUAUUGACAAUAGGCGCAAGCCUGAUCCAGCCAUACCGCGUGGGUGAAGAAGGCCUUCGGGUUGUAAAGCCCUUUUGUUGGGAAAGAAAAGCAGCAGGUUAAUACCCCGCUGUUCUGACGGUACCCAAAGAAUAAGCACCGGCUAACUUCGUG